CGUCUCUGGUCUGUUCCAGCCCUGGCCCGAGGCCCAUAGGAAAUGUGUUACUGUGUCUCCUUUCACGAGUGUCCUGCAAGGUUUUUACCCUUUCAAAAGCUCAUCUACAGAGGAGCCUGUGAAACACCAUACCCCACAGCUGUGCUCUUCCUGUCCUUUCGCUCCUGGGGACAUGUCAGCAGCAUUUCCCCAGUCUGAUGAGUUUCAGAGCCCGCGCUCUUUCUGCCUUGUUUCUUCUCAGCGGACCUACAAGUAGGGAGGAUUUAGCUUCCAUUUUGAAAUCCACAAUCCUGAUGAAAUGUGAUCGCUGGGAAAAAAUAUCUCAGGGACUGUUUAUUAGGGCCACCACAUUUCUGGCAUGAGAAACAGACUGCAAACACUUUGUUACUCUGGUAUUCCGGCUGCUAACACAGCAGGGUGUAAGGUCUUUACGUAAUCCCAAACCUCAGCCUCGAAGAGUUAAUGAUGUUACUCAUGCCACUGGGGCAUGAAAGAAAAGCUUGCAUUUUUGGGUGGUUAUUGCCUGCCCAGAGCAGUGGAAUGAGCCAAAAGGCUGAAGGCCAAGGGACGUGGGCCACCCAUGCAGCGAAAUAAUCCCCAAGAAAUGCACUGCCUGGAAUGGAAAUGAGAGGAAAGUGAACAGUCAUUCCAGGGCAUCUACUGAACGUUACCGACAGUCAUUCAGUCUAAAGUCGGCCUGAUUCUCAACACUGCAAAUCUCAGAUCUGGGAUAUAUUACAUAGAUCACAGGAAACGAUUGAAAUCAAGCGGUCGGGGCCUGUUCCUGUCAAGCUCUGGGUCGUAGGCAGUGAGCUCCGUUCUUAUUUCGGUUCCAACAGGAAUGAAUAAUUAAUAACCUAGUUUUGAAUGGAAAGUACAUUUCAAUGGAUGGGUAAUGCUUUCAGCAAGGCCUCUGAGGGUUAUUGUUUAUUUCCUUCUUUCCUGCUUUCCGAAGUAGGACCCUGGAUGAGAAGAAAGAAACAAUAUUCAAAUGUACGGUGGCCUACAUUUUUGACCCAUCAGAGACGCAUGUGAAUAAAGAAAAGCAGAAUUGAACGUUGACAUUGGCAUCCACCAUACACUAGACACUCUGUUCUGUGUCUUGUAAGCACUUUAAUGAUCUUCGUGGCAACAGUUUGGUACUUGGCAUUGGCCCAGUUUUUCAGAUGAGGACACUGGGCUCAGAGAGGUUAAGCAACUUGCCUGAAGUCACACAGCUCGCAGCUUCGAGAGCUGGACCGGGUAUGCCCGCCUUCAAAGCCUGGGUUCGUGCUCUUUCCGCCAUGACAUUUCGUAGACUCGCAGACCCACCCUGUUGGGAAUGACCUGGGGGUCAUUUAGGUGAGCCCUCGAAAUGAAGGACGCAUGAUUCUGUUCAUCUCCAUGACGCUGAAGGACAAACAAGUAGAAGUUGUGCCUGAAAUCCAAGCUGCGGCCUAGAAGAAAUGAGACCAAAGCUUCGGGCCGCAGACAGAGGGCAACGGACAAGUACCGGUGUGGGCAGGAUGGUCACAACGUUCCUAAGACGUUGGUCUUAAUAACGUACUGCCCACCUCCAAACCCAAGGAGCAGGCCAAAAAUCUUGGUUCUUGAAUGACUGUAAAGCACAGUGAUCUUCCAGACGAUCUACCUGAAGACAUGUAACGGAAGACAGGAGGAAACCACGGCAGGCAGGAGCCUGAGGGCUCAGACGCAUUUGAGCGCGGAGCUUCCCCUCGAAAGCAGACAGUGUGGCAGACGCAUCCUCCUGCACCGCACACGCAUGAGCCCCUUAGUACGGAACAAACGAGCCGUCCAGCCAGCUUACAUUAUCUUCUGUGUCUUUUCUUCUGUGGCCACAAGAACAGCUUUUCCCGUGACAUGAAAGAGGGGAGAGAGAGUUCCCAGCACCGGCCCCUGCAGCCCGACGGCCGGUGGCCUGGGUCAGUCCCUGAAUCUCUUGGUCUCGGCUCCCUCACCAGCGAUGACGUCUCAUCCUCUGGAGGAAGGUUAUGGGUAGAACUGUGUCCCUGAAGAUGUCAGGGACGUCAAAUGGGACUUGAGGUGCAAAUAGGGUCUUUGAUGAUGUAGUCAAGUCAAGACGAGCUCCUGCUGGACAAGGGUGGGCCUUGAAUCCAGUAGGACUGGAGUCCUUCGAAGGGACAGAGAAACACCCACCAAGAAGUAUGGCCAUCAUGUAGCGAGGGUUGCGCCCAUUACCAGAAGCCCCACGAGGUAAGGAAGAAUUCUCCACAGGCUACAGAGAGAGCAGGGUGCUGGCAACAUCUUGAUUUCAGACAUGUAGCUUCCAGAACCACAAGACGUUUCCCGGAGCAAGAGCAUAAGCAAUUUAUGCUGAAGUCUGGAAAAGGAUCCCCCGCCCCACUUAGAGGGCUCCUCUGUAGGAUCUUCUAGAUCCCUCCCAGCCUGGAGGUUCUGUGAGUCUAUGAAAUGCGCUGAUGAAGGAUAGCAAACCCCAAACCCAGGCUUUGAAGUCAGACAGACCUGGUUCCUGCUCCUCGCUCUCAUGUGCACCUGCUGUGUGACCUCGGGGAAGCAGCUGAGCCUCUCUGAGCCUAGGUUCAUCAUCUGAAAAACUGGGCCAGUGCCAACGGCCAAAUCACGGCUGGGAGGAUGAAGUGGAAAAAUAUUUAUUAAAACACACAGCAAGGACGGAAUUGGAAGAACAGCUCAGAACAUCGCUUGCUGGGGAAGCGGGAGGAGGCCUGCCUGAACCAGAGAGGACUCAGCACUGUGGCUGAGAGGAGCUACUUGGGUCUGCUCCUUUUCCAAGGCCUGGCCCUACUUCCUUUCUCGUCUGCCACCAUCGUGCUGUUCCUCCGAGGCUGCACAUCCCGGAAUGCGAAGAUUUUCCUGGGUUUUGCUGCCUCUUACUCGAUGGAACCUAUCCCAGCUCUCUAUGGAUUUUCUGACUGUUGCUCCUUCUUACUUGCUUAGUUCAUUCAUUCCACGAACAUUCUGGGGGGUCCACAGGGCACCAGGCCCUGUGCUAGGGCUCCCCAGCCCCUGACCCCUGUCCAUCUGCCCCAGGAUCCUGCUGCUGGCUCUCCCCAGGCUCCCGAAUAACCACCCACCUCCAAUUCCUCCCUUCCUCCCAUCCCCGAGGCGGGCUGCGCCACGGGGUACCUUCCCCCCCCCCGCCAGGAACAAAUCCUGACACUCUGCUGAUAUUUGUUGAUUAAAUGAACACAUAGAAAA